rnacentral:rRNA from 1 species
GGCUACAGAACGAACGCUGGCGGCAUGCCUAACACAUGCAAGUCGAACGAGACCUUCGGGUCUAGUGGCGCACGGGUGCGUAACGCGUGGGAACCUGCCUUAGGUUCGGAAUAACUCAGAGAAAUUUGAGCUAAUACCGGAUAAUGUCUUCGGACCAAAGAUUUAUCGCCUUUAGAUGGGCCCGCGUUGGAUUAGCUAGUUGUGGGUAAAGGCCUACCAAGGCGACGAUCCAUAGCUGGUCUGAGAGGAUGAUCAGCCACACUGGGACUGAGACACGGCCCAGACUCCUACGGGAGGCAGCAGUGGGGAAUAUUGGACAAUGGGCGAAAGCCUGAUCCAGCAAUGCCGCGUGAGUGAUGAAGGCCUUAGGGUUGUAAAGCUCUUUUACCCGAGAUGAUAAUGACAGUAUCGGGAGAAUAAGCUCCGGCUAACUCCGUG